GAUAAACGCUGGCGGCGUGCCUUAUGCAUGCAAGUCGAACGAGGUUAAGAUUUCGGUCUGAAGCCUAGUGGCGGACGGGUGAGUAACACGUACGUGACCUGUCCAGAAGUGGGGAAUAACCGGCCGAAAGGUUGGCUAAUACCGCAUGUGGUCACCCCUUGGAAGGGGAUGACGAAAGCCGAAAGGCGCUUCUGGAGGGGCGUGUGGCCGAUUAGCUAGUUGGUGUGGUAACGGCGCACCAAGGCGAUGAUCGGUAGCUGGUCUGAGAGGAUGGUCAGCCACACUGGGACUGAGAUACGGCCCAGACUCCUACGGGAGGCAGCAGCAGGGAAUUUUGCGCAAUGGGCGAAAGCCUGACGCAGCAACGCCGCGUGGGGAUGAA
rnacentral:rRNA from 1 species